UUCCAGGACAUUGUACAGUAUAGCAUCAUGUUCCUACUGGAAGUGUGUCAGAGAAUGAAGUGAGACAAGACAGACUUCAGGAAUUGUGGAGCAAUCAAGAAAGUCAGGACUUCAUGACACAGUGUUCACAGCACUGGAGGGAAUUCAGACUCCAAGGCAAUAAAGACAAUACCACAGGGACCGUCAUCUGCCUCGCAAGCACAAAGGAAGCAACCCAGGCAUGAUGAAGAAAAGAAGAUAACCCCACUGUCAACUCACCAGCAAGGCCAGCAUUCAGCAGGAGUGGGAGAGUGGAUUUUCCCAGGAUGACCACUAGCAUUACAAUCCCCUGUGGGAUCAAGAUCACCAUGUAGAUACACGGAAGGCAAAGGGGCACGCUAGGAAACAGUGAACUUUGGACCCAGAUAGACAAAAAUUUGAGCCAACUUCACCUCAUGCUUGAAGUGUCACUGGCCAUGUUGUGCAACACCCCCCUAGCUGCAUCCCUUCAGGGUAUAAGAAGAUAGCAGCUGUGCCUCCACUUACCUUAGAGGAAUAAAUGCCAAAUGACUGAAUCUGCAGCUGCUCCUGUCAGACGCUCAGCCCCGUGGACAAUAAACCUCUCCCAAGACCACCAGUCCUGUGCUCUCACGGUCACUUGCAAACUCAGCACGUUCUCCACAGACCAGGUCUCUUACCUGGGGUGUGAGCUCAAGGAAUGGCUGUUUUAUAAAGAAUAUUCACCUGGUUGAA